rnacentral:rRNA from 1 species
GACGAAGGGGGCUAGCGUUGUUCGGAAUUACUGGGCGUAAAGGGCGCGCAGGCGGCUCUACAAGUCAGGCGUUAAAGACCCAGGCUCAACCUGGGGAAUGCGCUUGAUACUGUAGGGCUUGAGAUCGGAAGAGGAGAGUGGAAUUCCCAGUGUAGAGGUGAAAUUCGUAGAUAUUGGGAAGAACACCAGUGGCGAAGGCGGCUCUCUGGUCCGAUUCUGACGCUGAGGCGCGAAAGCGUGGGGAGCAAACAGG